rnacentral:rRNA from 1 species
UACGAAGGGGGCUAGCGUUGCUCGGAAUCACUGGGCGUAAAGCGCACGUAGGCGGAUUGUUAAGUCAGGGGUGAAAUCCUGGAGCUCAACUCCAGAACUGCCUUCGAUACUGGAGAGCUCGAGUCCGGGAGAGGUGAGUGGAACUGCGAGUGUAGAGGUGAAAUUCGUAGAUAUUCGCAAGAACACCAGUGGCGAAGGCGGCUCACUGGCCCGGUACUGACGCUGAGGUGCGAAAGCGUGGGGAGCAAACAGG